rnacentral:rRNA from 1 species
CUGUGCAAAGGUAGCAUAAUCAUUAGUUUUUUAAUUGAAGGCUUGUAUGAAGGGUCUGACAAAGGAAAAGCUGUCUUUAAUUUUAUUUUUGAAUUUAACUUUUAAGUGAAAAGGCUUAAAUAAUUUUAAGGGACGAUAAGACCCUAUAAAUCUUUAUAUUAAAUUAUUAUCUUGAAUUUUAAUAAUUUGUCUAGAUUUGACAAGUAAAAUAAUAAAUAUUUUGUUGGGGUGACGAGAAUAUAAAAAUAACUGUUCUUAAAAAAAACAAAGUUGUUUGUAAAAUAAUUUAUAGAUCCUUUUUAAAGAUUAAAAGUUUAAGUUACUUUAGGGAUAACAGCGUUAUUUUUUUUGAGAGUUCUUAUCGAAAAAAAAGUUUGCGACCUCGAUGUUGAAUUAAAAUUUCUCUACGGUGUAGAAGUUGUGGAAGAGAGUCUGUUCGACUUUUGAAAUUUU